GUCCAGACGGUAGGAUAGCAGCGGCAUCCUUUUAUAUCCGCCGCGGCGGACAUAAAAGAUAUAGCGGAUAGCGGGAAACAGC
rnacentral:sRNA from 1 species